CCUACGGGUGGCAGCAGUGAGGAAUAUUGGUCAAUGGGCUUACGCCUGAACCAGCCAAGUCGCGUGAGGGAAGACUGCCCUAUGGGUUGUAAACCUCUUUUGUCAGGGAGCAAUUGGCGCUACGUGUAGCGUUAUCGAGAGUACCUGAAGAAAAAGCAUCGGCUAACUCCGUGCCAGCAGCCGCGGUAAUACGGAGGAUGCGAGCGUUAUCCGGAUUUAUUGGGUUUAAAGGGUGCGUAGGCGGGUUAUCAAGUCAGCGGUAAAAUCGUGGAGCUCAACUCCAUCCAGCCGUUGAAACUGAUGAUCUUGAGUGGGCGAGAAGUAUGCGGAAUGCGUGGUGUAGCGGUGAAAUGCAUAGAUAUCACGCAGAACUCCGAUUGCGAAGGCAGCAUACCGGCGCCCGACUGACGCUGAAGCACGAAAGCGUGGGUAUCGAACAGGAUUAGAUACCCCUGUAGUC
rnacentral:rRNA from 1 species